rnacentral:rRNA from 1 species
GGUGCAUUAGACUAGUUGGUGAGGUAACGGCUCACCAAGGCCACGAUGCAUAGCCGACCUGAGAGGGUGAUCGGCCACACUGGGACUGAGACACGGCCCAGACUCCUACGGGAGGCAGCAGUAGGGAAUCUUCCGCAAUGGACGAAAGUCUGACGGAGCAACGCCGCGUGAGUGAUGAAGGCUUUCGGGUCGUAAAACUCUGUUGUUAGGGAAGAACAAGUAUGAGAGUAACUGCUCGUACCUUGACGGUACCUAACCAGAAAGCCACGGCUAACUACGUGCCAGCAGCCGCGGUAAUACGUAGGUGGCAAGCGUUAUCCGGAAUUAUUGGGCGUAAAGCGCGCGCAGGCGGUUUCUUAAGUCUGAUGUG